CGCGGCCUAUCAGCUUGUUGGUGGGGUAACGGCCCACCAAGGCUAUGGCGGGUAGCUGACGUGAGAGCGUGAUCAGCCACACUGGGACUGAGACACGGCCCAGACUCCUACGGGAGGCAGCAGUGGGGAAUAUUGCGCAAUGGGCGGAAGCCUGACGCAGCGACGCCGCGGGGGAGGAAGGCCCUAGGGUUGUAAACCCCUGUCAGGUGGGACGAACCCCGGGUCGGUAAAUAAUCGGCCCGACUGACGGUACCACCAGAGGAAGCUCCGGCUAACUCCGUGCCAGCAGCCGCGGUAAUACGGAGGGAGCGAGCGUUGUUCGGAAUCACUGGGCGUAAAGGGCGCGUAGGCGGCCGAGUAAGUCGUGUGUGAAAGACCGGGGCUCAACUCCGUGUACUGCAUGCGAUACUGCCCGGCUAGAGAAAGGUAGAGGCGAGUGGAAUUCCCGGUGUAGCGGUGGAAUGCGUAGAUAUCGGGAAGAACACCUGUGGCGAAGGCGGCUCGCUGGGCCUUUUCUGACGCUGAAGUGCGAAAGCGUGGGGAGCAAACAGGAUUAGAUACC
rnacentral:rRNA from 1 species